UGGGGAAUUUUGGACAAUGGGCGAAAGCCUGAUCCAGCAAUGCCGCGUGUGUGAAGAAGACCUUCGGGUUGUAAAGCACUUUUGUCCGGAAAGAAAUCCUUGGCUCUAAUACAGUCGGGGGAUGACGGUACCGGAAGAAUAAGCACCGGCUAACUACGUGCCAGCAGCCGCGGUAAUACGUAGGGUGCAAGCGUUAAUCGGAAUUACUGGGCGUAAAGCGUGCGCAGGCGGUUUGCUAAGACCGAUGUGAAAUCCCCGGGCUCAACCUGGGAACUGCAUUGGUGACUGGCAGGCUAGAGUAUGGCAGAGGGGGGUAGAAUUCCACGUGUAGCAGUGAAAUGCGUAGAGAUGUGGAGGAAUACCGAUGGCGAAGGCAGCCCCCUGGGCCAAUACUGACGCUCAUGCACGAAAGCGUGGGGAGCAAACAGGAUUAGAUACCCUGGUAGUCCACGCCCUAAACGAUGUCAACUAGUUGUUGGGGAUUCAUUUCCUUAGUAACGUAGCUAACGCGUGAAGUUGACCGCCUGGGGAGUACGGUCGCAAGAUUAAAACUCAAAUGAAUUGACGGGGUCAUAGCUGUUUCC
rnacentral:rRNA from 1 species